UACGUAGGGGGCAAGCGUUGUCCGGAAUUAUUGGGCGUAAAGCGCGCGCAGGCGGCUUACUAAGUCUGGUGUGAAAGCCCACGGCUCAACCGUGGAGGGCCAUUGGAAACUGGUAAGCUUGAGUGCAGGAGAGGAGAGCGGAAUUCCUGGUGUAGCGGUGAAAUGCGCAGAUAUCGGGAAGAACACCCGUGGCGAAGGCGGCUCUCUGGGACGGUACUGACGCUGAGACGCGAAAGCGUGGGGAGCGAACAGG
rnacentral:rRNA from 1 species